GGCAAUCAUGCCAAUGUCAGCUGUGGGUGCUGGCGGUAUUCCUGGCCCCACAACCAACUUGAAUAUUGGUAUGGACUACUGGAAUGCCGCUGCUUCGCCGAAUAUUCCUGCAAUCCAUGGGAAGGUACCGUCUGCUUCAGUUGCUGGAGGAAUAGUUAAUGCUGGAUCAAGGGAUAUUGUCCAAUCACAAAUGUGGAUUCAGGAUGAAAGGGAGCUCAAGAGGCAGAGAAGAAAGCAGUCCAACAGGGAAUCUGCACGUAGGUCUAGGCUACGGAAGCAGGCAGAGUGCGAUGAACUAGCACAGCGUGCUGAAGUUCUAAAGGAAGAAAAUGCCUCUCUUAGAGCAGAACUGAGUCGUCUAAGGAGUGAGCAUGACCAACUUGCUUCUCAGAAUGCUUCUCUUAAGGAGAGACUUGGCGAAGUUUCAGGCCGAGAUGAUCCAAGACCUAGUAGAAAUGACAUACAUCUAAACAAAGAUACCCAGCAUUCAUCACAAACAGAGCCCAAACAGGGUGGUCAGUGAAGUUCUGGCUAGAUUAUCGUGGAUUGAAAAAUAGGCUUAACCUAACAAACUUAGUAGUAAGAGUCUUUAAUUUGCAUAUUUAUGUAGUUUAACAAUCUAUGGAAAUGUGAGGCUUUUUGGUAUCAGGAUUCGUUGUCCUAUGUUGUCCAUUGUUUCUCAGUUUGGACCGAUCUUUUAUGGUCGAGAAACCUGGAUAAUAUGUAGAGUAUGUGACCGAUGACUCGUGAUAGUUUUGUGCCUAAUAGGUGGUGUCUCUGUUUGCUCAAAUUUGUAUGUACUGAUGAAAUAGUUGAUGAGUCUGCUCUUAGAACUAAU
rnacentral:misc_RNA from 1 species